rnacentral:rRNA from 1 species
GGGAUACUCGGGAAACUGACGCUAAUACCCAUAGGUGACAGACUCUGGCAAUGACUGUCACUGAAAGGCAUUUGCAUGUUGCUUGUUGAUGCUGCCCAGGGAUGGGUCUGCGGUGGAUUAGGCUGACGUUAGGGUAAUGGCCUAACGUACCUACGAUCCGUACCAGCUAUGAGAGUAGGUGCUGGGAGAUGGAUACUGAGACAAAGAUCCAGGCUCUACGGAGCGCAGCAGGCGCGAAACCUCUACAAUGUGCGAAAGCAUGAUAGGGGGACUCCGAGUGUCUCUCUAAAGGGAGACUUUUGUAGUAUGUAAAAAGUACUACGGAAUAAGGGGUGGUCAAGACUAGUGCCAGCCUCCGCGGUAACACUAGCAACCCAAGUGGUAGUCGCUUUUAUUUGGCUUAAAGCGUCCGUAGUCUGGUCGGUAAGUUCUCUGUGAAAUCCUGUUGCUUAACAAUAGGGCUUGCAGAGAAUACUACCAAUCUUGGAGCCAAGAGAGGUUAGGGGUAUUCCAGGGGUAGCGGUGAAAUGCUAUAAUCCCUGGAGGACCACCAAUAGCGAAGGCACCUAACUGGAAUGGGCUCGACGAUGAGGGACAAAAGCUAGGGGAGCAAACCGGAUUAGAUACCCGGGUAGUCCUAGCCGUAAACGAUGUGGGCUGAGUGUUUCUUGAACUUCGAGUUCGAGAAGUGCUGAAGGGAAACCGUUAAGCCCACCGCCUGGGGAGUACGGUCGCAAGGCUGAAACUUAAAGGAAUUGGCGGGGGAGCACCACAAGGGGUGGAGUCUGCGGUUUAAUUGGAUACAACGCCGGGAAACUUACCAGGGGCGACGGCAGGAUGAAGGUCAGAUUAAUGAUCUUACUGAACGAGCCGAGAGGUAGUGCAUGGCCGCCGUCAGCUCGUACCGUGAGGCGUGCGGUUAAGUCCGUUAACGAGCGAGACCCGUGCCUCUAUUUGCUACCUUUCUCGUGAGAGGGAGGGCACUAUAGGGGGACCGCUGGCGAUGAGUCAGAGGAAGGCGCGGUCGACGAUAGGUCUGUAUGCUCCAAAUCUCCUGGGCUACACGUGGACUACAAUGGCAUGGACAAUGGGUUGCAACGCCGAAAGGUGGGAGCCAAUCCCCAAACCAUGUCUUAGUUCGGAUCGAGUUUUGAAACUCAGACUCGUGAAGCUGAAAUCCCUAGUAAUCGCUGGUAACUAUCUAGCGGUGAAUAUGUCCCUGCUCCUUGCACACACCGCCCGUCAA